GAUGAACGCUAGCGAUAGGCUUAACACAUGCAAGUCGAGGGGCAGCAUGGUCUUAGCUUGCUAAGACUGAUGGCGACCGGCGCACGGGUGCGUAACGCGUAUGCAACUUGCCUCACAGAGGGGGAUAACCCGUCGAAAGACGGACUAAUACCGCGUACACUCCAUCUUGGGCAUCCAAGGUAGGGGAAAUGAAAUUCGCUGUGAGAUAGGCAUGCGUCCCAUUAGCUAGUUGGUGAGGUAACGGCUCACCAAGGCGACGAUGGGUAGGGGAACUGAGAGGUUGAACCCCCACACUGGUACUGAGACACGGACCAGACUCCUACGGGAGGCAGCAGUGAGGAAUAUUGGUCAAUGGGCGAGAGCCUGAACCAGCCAAGUCGCGUGAAGGAUGACUGUCUUAUGGAUUGUAAACUUCUUUUAUACGGGAAUAACAAGAGUCACGUGUGACUCCCUGCAUGUACCGUAUGAAUAAGCAUCGGCUAACUCCGUG
rnacentral:rRNA from 1 species